rnacentral:tRNA from 1 species
GGCUCGUUGGUCUAGGGGUAUGAUUCUUGCUUUAGGGUGCGAGAGGUCCCGGGUUCAAAUCCCGGACGAGCCC